rnacentral:rRNA from 1 species
CCUACGGGAGGCAGCAGUGGGGAAUCUUGCGCAAUGGGCGGAAGCCUGACGCAGCGACGCCGCGUGCGGGACGAAGGCCUUCGGGUCGUAAACCGCUUUCAGCAGGGACGAGGCCCUCACGGUGACGGUACCUGCAGAAGAAGCCCCGGCUAACUACGUGCCAGCAGCCGCGGUAAUACGUAGGGGGCGAGCGUUAUCCGGAUUUAUUGGGUUUAAAGGGGGCGUAGGCGGACUGUUAAGUCAGCGGUAAAAGCCCGGGGCUCAACCCCGGCGAGCCGUUGAAACUGGCUGUCUUGAGAUGUCGAGAGGUAUGCGGAAUGCGCAGUGUAGCGGUGAAAUGCUUAGAUAUUGCGCAGAACUCCGAUUGCGAAGGCAGCAUACCGGCGGCGAUCUGACGCUGAGGCACGAAAGCGUGGGUAUCGAACAGGAUUAGAUACCCUAGUAGUC